CAUCAGAGGCAUCCGCGGAUGCAAUCGUUACCCCACUGUCGUGUUUUCUCCCCGUGCCUCUCUCCCUCGGGAGUGGAGAGAGAGUGCGCGCGCGCGUGCCGUGUGCAUGUACCGGCGCGAGAGGAGGUAUAACCGAGACCGGAGAGUGAAGAGUGCAUCGUCGGACGCGGCGGCAGGGAACUUCGAGACGAAGCUCUCGGUUGCGAUGCUUUAUUGGCUUCGGCGUCGUAAUCAGCGGCGCGGGGAUUAGACCGCACGGGCACAUCGGCGAGUAACGUGCAACGGGAAUGAGUAAUUCACGAAGCACUUAAUAUACAUAGACAGCGAUGAAUCACGUUCCAACUGCGCGCGUUUAAUCCUAGGAAUGGAGAGCUUUGCCAAUAAGACCUAACGUAUAUCUUGUAGGUAUACAUUGCUAGUGGACAGACGCAAAGAUCGUGCAUCUUAUCUACAAAUAUACCCCUCGAAACGGUUUUAUGAUCGGAAUGCCAACCUACAAGACAAGACAAGACAAGAGCGUUGAGCAGGGAGUUAACUUCAG